AGUCGAACGAACUUAACCCUUUGUUUACAUUGGGAGCGGUUAGUGGCGGACUGGUGAGUAACACGUAAGCAACCUGCCUAUUAGAGGGGAAUAACAGUGAGAAAUCAUUGCUAAUACCGCAUAUGCUCACAGUAUCACAUGAUACAGUGAGGAAAGGAGCAAUCCGCUAAUAGAUGGGCUUGCGUCUGAUUAGCUAGUUGGUGGGGUAACGGCCUACCAAGGCGACGAUCAGUAGCCGGACUGAGAGGUUGAACGGCCACAUUGGGACUGAGAUACGGCCCAGACUCCUACGGGAGGCAGCAGUCGGGAAUAUUGCGCAAUGGAGGAAACUCUGACGCAGUGACGCCGCGUAUAGGAAGAAGGUUUUCGGAUUGUAAACUAUUGUCGUUAGGGAAGAUAAAAGACAGUACCUAAGGAGGAAGCUCCGGCUAACUAUGUGCCAGCAGCCGCGGUAAUACAUAGGGAGCAAGCGUUAUCCGGAAUUAUUGGGUGUAAAGGGUGCGUAGACGGAGGAACAAGUUAGUUGUGAAAUCCCUCGGCUUAACUGAGGAACUGCAACUAAAACUAUUCCCCUUGAGUGUCGGAGAGGAAAGUGGAAUUCCUAGUGUAGCGGUGAAAUGCGUAGAUAUUAGGAGGAACACCAGUGGCGAAGGCGACUUUCUGGACGAUAACUGACGUUGAGGCACGAAAGUGUGGGGAGCAAACAGGAUUAGAUACCCUGGUAGUCCACACUGUAAACGAUGGAUACUAGGUGUAGGGUGUAUUAAGCACUCUGUGCCGCCGCAAACGCAUUAAGUAUCCCACCUGGGGAGUACGACCGCAAGGUUGAAACUCAAAGGAAUUGACGGGGGCCCGCACAAGCAGUGGAGUAUGUGGUUUAAUUCGAAGCAACGCGA
rnacentral:rRNA from 1 species